UACGUAGGGGGGCAAGCGUUUGUCCGGAUUUAUUGGGCGUAAAGAGCGUGUAGGCGGCCUGAAAGGUCAGCUGUGAAAACUCGAGGCUCAACCUCGAGACGUCGGUUGAAACCAUCUGGCUAGAGUCCGGAAGAGGAGAGUGGAAUUCCCGGUGUAGCGGUGAAAUGCGCAGAUAUCGGGGAAGAACACCCGUGGCGAAGGCGGCUCUCUGGGACGGUACUGACGCUGAGACGGCGAAAGCGUGGGGAGCGAACAGG
rnacentral:rRNA from 1 species